rnacentral:rRNA from 1 species
CCCUUAGAUGUUCUGGGCCGCACGCGCGCUACACUGAUGCAUUCAACGAGCCUAUCCUUGACCGACAGGUCCGGGUAAUCUUUGAAUCUGCAUCGUGAUAGGGAUAGACUAUUGCAAUUAUUGGUCUUCAACGAGGAAUUCCUAGUAGACGUAGUUCAUCAGACUGCAUCGAUUACGUCCCUGCCCUUUGUACACACCGCCCGUCGCUCCUACCGAUUGAAUGCUCAGGUGAGCCAUUCGGACCUUCAUCAUGCCGGUUUCCGGUUUUGAUGAGGGAAAGUCUUGCGAACCUUAUCAUUUAGAGGAAGGAGAAGUCGUAACA